rnacentral:ncRNA from 2 species
CUCUUAUCAAGAGAGGUGGAGGGACUGGCCCUUAGAUACCUCGGCAGCAGACUUACGUUAGUACUGUGCCAAUUCCAGGAGUGCUUUGCUCAAAGAUAAGAA